UUCUUUUCUUUUGCGUUCUCUUAUACCGUCAAUGGCGUCACUAGAGAUUGGAUGACCGAGAUCGAGAUGAAGAAUCUCUUUGUUUGUCUCCAUUCGCGUCGUUUAACCUUCUACUUUACUCAACCGAAACAGUCCGAGUUACAGCCAUUAUCGCCUUCUUAACUCUAUACACCGACGUGAAGCACGAUCUGACAUUGAUUAUGAGUUAUCCCAGGCGUUUUAUUCUACACCCAUAAAAAGGAUCUUCCAACUCUUAUGCUAGAAGAUACAGCUUUGGAUGUUCUCAAAAUUCUAAGAUGGCUGCAAGGCAACUUGAGUUUAUGGUGGGGAAGAAAUCUGGUGGUCCAAACACUUGCAGCCUUGAGGAUGCUUUAGGAAUAGCACAGCACCAUGAUGGUGACUAUGCCUAAAGACUAGCACUUGGUCCUUCUGAGGAGCAGUGGUGAAUUCUGUGCUGGCACACUUACCGAACGCACGUACAAAACCUGGCAUAUCAUUAACCCAGGUGAGAUUGUUAUAAACAUGGUUGUGGGAGGGGAAGUAACUACUCUCAAAAGACAAUGGCAUUAUCAUCGCAGAGACUGCCAAUCAAUAUAGUUAGAUCUUAAAACAACAACUCAGGGCUCCUAUGAUCUUAAUGAUACCAUCAAAGUUCGGUUGUUGGCACUUAUAUAUGUUACCUAUGAUCUUCUCCGUAGAAAUCAAUAGUUUGUGUUAAGCUACAGAAGAUGUCUCUUUUAGCCAUUAAGAUGAUCACUUUGGUCUA